rnacentral:rRNA from 1 species
AUUGAACGCUGGCGGCAGGCUUAACACAUGCAAGUCGAGCGAGCGGCGGCCGGGUGAGUCAUGUCUGGGAAACUGCCUGAUGGAGGGGGCUAACUACUGGAAACGGUAUCUAAUACCGCAUACCAUCAGAUUUGCCCAGAGGGGAUUAGCUAGUAGGUGGGGUAAUGGCUCACCUGGGCGACUAUCCCUAGCUGGUCUGAGAGGAGGAACAUCCACCCUGGAAAUGAGACACGGUCCAGACUCCUACGGGAGGCAGCAGUGGGGAUUAUUGCACAAUGGGCGCAAGCCUGAGGCAGCCAGGCCGCGUGUGUGAAGAAGGCCUUCGGGUUGUAAAGCACUUUCAGCGAGGAGGCGUUACUCGCAGAAGAAGCACCGGCUAACUCCGUGCCAGCAGCCGCGGUAAUUC